GAUAACAACAAAACUAAGGAUGGUAGGGCCAAAUACCUAAUGAUUGUAUUUGUGUUUUUUAGCUGAAAUUUUGAGUCUAUCAGCUCAGUUACUGUAAAAAACAAAACAAAUUAGAACGGGACACUUUCCAAACAGUGAAGGAGGUUUUUCCAAACUCAUCCCUAACUGAACGUGAGGAUGAGUUGGCAUUAGGCGAACACAGACAGUGAUUCAGUCCACCACCUGACAGUGUGUUAAAUUUAAAUUCUGUUAGUGUUGCACUAAAAGAAUCGUUAGUAAUAAGUCCAUGCAGCGAAGGAAAUGAACAAUUGUGGGAUCGUAUUUGGGCCGAAAGUGGGUGUGGUACGAAAACCCAGAAAUGGCAUGAGUUCAACAUAAAACAUGGAUUAGAAUUUUAGUGGGGGAUCAAGUCAAGUCUGGAAGUGUUACAGGAUGGAAGAGUGAGCCUACAGUUGAAAAAACACAGAGUGCAUUACCAUUAAGGUAUGAGGUAAAGUAAUAGAGUAUGCAAAUUGUCUAAUGACAG